rfam:Alligator mississippiensis ScZkoYb_218.1, whole genome shotgun sequence.
GCAUUUAGCUGUCCUAGACUAAGUGUUCUUGCUCUUGUCUGAUUUUAGAAGUGAAGCAGUCUUAGACUUGGACAGUAUUUGGGUGGGUGACCACUUGGGAAUCUAUAGUGCUGUAGAAA